UCACCGCUUACGCGGGCAGUUUCUAUAGAGUCCCCAGCAUAACCUGUUGGCAACUAUAAGAUAGGGGUUGCGCUCGUUAUGGGACUUAACCCGACACCUCACGGCACGAGCCGACGACAGCCAUGCAGCACCUUGUAGACUGUUCCGAAGAAAAGCCCUGUUUCCAGAGCGGUCACUCUACAUUCAAACCUUGGUAAGGUUCCUCGCGUAUCAUCGAAUUAAACCACAUGCUCCACCGCUUGUGCGGGCCCCCGUCAAUUCCUUUGAGUUUCAACCUUGCGAUCGUACUCCCCAGGUGGAUUACUUAAUGCUUUCGCUUAGACACUGACUUGCGCCAAUAUCGAGUAAUCAUCGUUUACUGCGUGGACUAC
rnacentral:misc_RNA from 1 species